CAGCGUUGUUAUGCAGCCACAGUUAGCCUCAACAAUUGAACAGAGGUAGUUGGUUUUGAAAGUGGAGCUUGGUCUUCGAAGCAAAUGCUUAGAUGUGUUCUACAUGGUGAGAUGGUCUGAUAUUCAUUGCUAGUUUGUGUAAAGUAAAUAAAUAAAAAAUUAAGUCCUUUUAUUUAGCAGGGAAAUAAAGACAGACCUUUAAUUAUGGAAGCACAUACUCCGGGACCCAGAGAUCCUUCACCAUCUCACCGGAUGACAAAAAUAGGAACUUAGCUUUCUUCUUUCCUCUCUAGAA
rnacentral:lncRNA from 1 species